rnacentral:rRNA from 1 species
GACGGAGGAUGCAAGCGUUAUCCGGAAUGAUUGGGCGUAAAGCGUCCGCAGGUGGCAGUUCAAGUCUGCUGUCAAAGACCGGGGCUUAACUUCGGAAAGGCAGUGGAAACUGAACAGCUAGAGUAUGGUAGGGGCAGAGGGAAUUCCUGGUGUAGCGGUGAAAUGCGUAGAUAUCAGGAGGAACACCGAUGGCGAAGGCAGCCCCCUGGGCCAACACUGACGCUCAGGCACGAAAGCGUGGGGAGCAAACAGG